GCGGGCGCCCUUCGUUACUCCUGCCCCUUCCCCGGCUCACCAGGCAGGUACUGCGGCUCUCCCCACGCCCUCCCGAUAGGGCUGCAAGGCAGCUGCAGCUAUUCAGGAGGGGGGAGGGAAGGUUGCCCCCGCCCAGAGGGGCCUCAGUCUGCUCGGCCAGCCGCGCCCCCGUGGGGACGGCGAUGCAGAGCGCCGUCCCCGCUGUGCUCAACACCAGCCCCUGCUUCCGAGGGGCACCUCGCUCCCCUUCCCCUGACGGGAGAAGGGGGUGCUCCUUCCAGGCUAGAGGAGGGGCGAGACAGAAACAGGCUGCCAGCUACUGCUUAGCCGAGACAGGUACUGGCAGAAGCUGCCAACCGCAGACCCAUGGCUAAGUAAAUGAUCUUUUGAGACAACGAUGUUGCAUUAGGAGAAUCCUGCUCUCAUCUGCGGAUCAAACAUGAUAAUACUCCCUGUCACAGAAGACCAAGUUUAACAGGUAUGAGAAUACAACAUGCACUUGACUUUAUUUCUUUUGAGGCUUAAAUGAUUUAAAUCACAGUUUUGACAAAAGAAAAUUGGUUACAAACCAGAGAUUCCAGCUUUUCACGAGUUGUUUUUAUGAGAUGAUCUUGCAAUCCCGAUACAGACGAUUCCACUACACUUUUAUGAUGAACUCCAGCGGGCUACAUCUUUAUUCCCUUCGUCUGGUUGCUGAGUGGACGGUCAUGCUCACACGUUGUCUAGAAGGAAACUUGUGGAAACUUUAGCAGAACACACAGCGCACUGUAUUCGUGCCCUGGCAUGCCAACAAAAAUGCCCUGAGCGGCCUCCUCUUGUCACAGAGGCUGCGAUAGCCCAGAGGGUAAUGGAGGCUGUGUUAGUGUUGAAUAGAGUCCUGAUCGUCCUCAGAGUCCGAACUGGGUUUCAGAAGGGAGACAUCUCACUACUCAACUUGUCAUGACCAGAGUAUAGGGCUUCAUGCAUCUUACCAUUUCUCUUUCUUAAAUCUGGAAUAUUCUAAGCAAAACCAACUAAAUCAAAAAGAUUAAAUACAAUUUACCAUUCAGAGAAAAUAAGAUGAGAGAUUACUGAACAUCAGACAAAGCUGGAAGUAUUGAAUUAUGUAUAUUGUUGCAGGAAAUGUAUGAAAUUUAAUUUUAGGUUUCAUACAGGUUUUAAAGCUCUGAGCAGGUUUUAUUUUCAAAUAGAAAUGAUUAAAUAUAAUUUCUCAAUACUUUUACAUGAUUAAUGUAACAGGCUGAUCUUUCUUUGAGUACAUCAUAAAUAUCAUCCACACUGGUGUGCUAUAUAUGGAGAGUUUUAUUGCUGCAGCACUUUAUGAAAUUAUUCUUUGGGAAAUUAUAGAUAGUCAAUGAAUAAUUCAAGGGAAGGAAUAAAACAAAAUCUAAUAAAAUCUGUGUAUGAUUGAACUUUGACAUUAUUACAGUAAUGUGUAUAUACAAACGUCCCUGUUAUUCUGGAGAAAGGAUUCAAGUUGAGCUUGAUUUUUGAAAGAGGAGAUCUUUUCCCACUUCACUUUUCUGAUAAGAAAAGUGACAAUUACUUACUAGUUGCUAGCCUGAACACAAAUAGUACUUGCAUCUAUUUCCAGAAAAAUAAAAGAUAAAUUGUUGAGCAAAUAUUAGAUUUUUAGUAGUGAUUCCAAUCUUUAUCUAUUUCUGAGAGUCUGAAAAUAACUCAUAUAAGUUUAAUAGGAAAAAUUUAAUAGGACUGCAUGAAUUUAUGCCAGCUGGUAGUCUAGUCAUUCACUUCAGUGGUUUAUUUAGUUUGGUUUAUAGACUAGUCCAGGCCUUUCCUUUAAAACUUUAAUCAUAAAACAUAAAGAAGAAAAGAAAAAAGUGAGUUUGGUGGCUUGAUGACCACCAUGGAGCUGCCGUCAGAUGAAGUUAGAAGUUCCUCCAUUGAAAAUAGUUGAUGUAUUAUUUAAAAAAUAAAAAUGUUAGAGUUCUGUAACAAACCAGGAGUCAAUUCCAAAAACGUGGUUAUGAUUUUU